rnacentral:rRNA from 1 species
AACACAUGCAAGUCGAGGGGUAGACGUCUUCGGACGUUGAGACCGGCGCACGGGUGCGUAACGCGUAUGCAACCUGCCUUCCACAAAGGGAUAGCCCAGAGAAAUUUGGAUUAAUACCUUAUAGUAUUACAGAAUGGCAUCAUUUCGUAAUUAAAGAUUUUAUCGGUGGAAGAUGGGCAUGCGUCCCAUUAGCUUGUUGGUAAGGUAACGGCUUACCAAGGCAAUGAUGGGUAGGGGUCCUGAGAGGGAGAUCCCCCACACUGGUACUGAGACACGGACCAGACUCCUACGGGAGGCAGCAGUGAGGAAUAUUGGACAAUGGGCGCAAGCCUGAUCCAGCCAUGCCGCGUGCAGGAUGACGGUCCUAUGGAUUGUAAACUGCUUUUAUACGGGAAGAAACCCUGGCUCGUGAGCCAGACUGACGGUACCGUAGGAAUAAGGAUCGGCUAACUCCGUGCCAGCAGCCGCGGUAAUACGGAGGAUCCAAGCGUUAUCCGGAAUCAUUGGGUUUUAA